CUGUCACAGAGCUCAUCAAUGAGUUUCCCAUGAAGAAUCCCCCAGUUUGCUGGAUCUAAUUCCCAAGCAGACAAGGAAAUGGCCCUAAUGUUGAACUCUGAUUCCAUCCUUCCACACCUGUUCUAAUGGGAUCAGCUACAUAACUCUCAUGGGAUAAGCUACACAACACACCUGUUCUAAUGGGAUCAGCAAGACAAUACACCUAUUCUCAAGGGAUCAGCUACACAACACACCUGUUCUAAUGGGAUCAGCUAGACAAUACACCUAUUCUCAAGGGAUCAGCUACACAACACACCUAUUCUCAUGGGAUCAGCUACACAACACACCUGUUCUCAUGGAAUCAGCCACACAACACACCUGUUCUCAUGGAAUCAGCUAGACAACACACCUGUUCUAAUGGGAUCAGCUAGACAACACACCUGUUCUAAUGGGAUCAGCUAGACAACACACCUGUUCUAAUGGGAUCAGCUAGACAACACACCUGUUCUAAUGGGAUCAGCUAGACAACACACCUUUUCUAAUGGGAUUUAAUUUAGAACUGACAAAGCAAUGGAGUGAUUACUGUACCUGGGAACAUCCCUGCCAACUAAAUCAAAAUAAAUAAAAUAUGAGAGUAAAA